rnacentral:lncRNA from 10 species
GAAUACAGAGAAUGUGGAUUUUCCUGGUGCCAAGUUGUUCUUCCAUUCCUCGGCCAAGUUUCCAUUCUGAUUAACUCAAGAUUCACUUGGAACCCUUUCCUUGCUAUGGCCAUUAAUCCUAAACUGCUUUAUCAGGAACUUGGCCCAAUCUGAGUUAGUUUCCUUCCUUGGAUACCUGCCUUAAACCAGAUCCUCAAACCUCAUAAAUAUCCCUCCUAGAAAAUAAGACUCUGUCAAGGGAGUAUUCUUUCUUAUUUCAGUAGGCAAUGAACUUGAUGCUGUUUUAUCAACAAGUUGAUUAAGUGAUGAUUAGGGUAUCAGUAAUCAACAUUGAUUUGAACCCUGGCUAGCUACAACACUUCCUAGCUGUGUGAUCUUGGGAAACAUUUCUGAGAUGGUUAAUACUGAGUGUCAACUUGAUUGGACUGAAGGAUGUAAAGUAUUGUUCCUGGGUGUGUCUGUAAGGGUGUUGCCAAAGGAGAUCAAUGGACUGGGAGAGGCAGACCCACCCUCAAUCUGGGUGGGCACCAUCUAACCAACUGCUAGCGUGGCUAGAAUAAAGCAGGCAGAAGGACGUGGAAGGACUUGACUUCCUGAAUCUUCUGGUCCUCAUCUUUUCCCCGUGCUGGAUGCUUGCUGCCCUCAAACAUCGGACUCCAAGUUCUUCAGCUUUGGGACUCUUGGACUUACAAGCUCUCUGGCCUUCGGCAACAGACUGAAGGCUGCACUUUCGGAUUCCCUACUUUUGAGAUUUUGGGACUCAGACUGGCUUCCUGGUUCCUCAGCUUGCAGACGGCCUAUUGUAGGACUUCACAAGUCUCACCUCAUAGCCUAUUCAUUACCGCUGAAAGUGAUUCAGAUUGUCAAGGCCCAUCUUCUAUACAGCGCUUCCCAAAGUGACGUCGGUAGACCAGUACCAGUAAGAAAACUGUUUCUAGUCUGAUAAGCUCCUGGAAACCACCAUUCUACUUCCUGACUCUAUGAUUUUGACUACUCUAGGCACCUCAUACUGGAACUAGUUCACAGACCCAAAGAUGCUUGAAUGAAGGAAAGGCAGCCUUCCCUGGAGGAAGAACUCAACAGCGCUUCCACAAAUAGUACAUUUUUACUGAUUAUCAAAGAAGGACUGUGACUAAACUAGAAGGAGAAUUAACACUAUCCAGAGAUGGCUACAGUUCUGAAGGGAAACUUUGAGUCUCCACCUUUCCAAGAGUGGGGCACAGAUGUCGGAGCCAGACUGCCUGGACUCAAAUCUCAGAACCUGCAUUUAUUAGCUGUGUGACUUUGGAUAAUCCUCUCUCCACAACUUGAUAAUGCACAAACUGCAAAUCUUCUGGUACUCACUGCUGCAAGCAAACUUGAAGUCUUUCUGAGCCUGACUCUUCAUUCCUGCCUUGUGUGACCCAGGGAUGGAGGACUGCCCUCCCAACUCAUUAUCCUCUUUGCCCAGGAGCUUGUCCUAGAAACAACCACAUGCUGGAGAAUGGAAUUCCAUAAGGUACUCUCUUAGAUAAAGGAAGUGCCAGCCAUCCUGUUGCCAUCUGCUAAAAUCCUCAGCCCACCUGCAUAGUGAACAGCAUUCAUUGUUUUCCAGAAAUGUGCAAGAACCACAGUCUCCCCCAAGACUGAAGAUCUGCUUCAUCGACAUGGCAGGGAACGUGGCUGAACACAGAGGACUCAUUUUUGCAGCUUCCCUACCAGAGAGAGAGAGACACCCUUUUUACCCGAGUUCUGAGUUGAAAUAUCCUAGAAGAGAACUCUGAUUGGCCUGGCUUGGGUCACAUGCCUGUCCUUGAGUUGAUCAACUGUGAUUAGUUAUAAGUGUACUCAUUAGUAACUUCCCCUGGAACCUUAGAUUUGAUGUGGGGUAAGACUUCCAAAAACAAACAAAAAAAUAAAACAGAAGAAUGCUAUUUCUGGAGAAAAGAAUCUGAAAAAUAGAUUAACAAUAUAAAGGCAGCACAAGUAGCAAAGAGUUAAUAAGCUGUAAUUUCAGGAGCACUCCCUUAUUGUCUCAUAAUUCCUUGGACUACCUCCAAUAGUUAAGAAUCUUAGUAAUAACACUCUGAAAAAGGCAACUUGUGAAACUCACUUGAGUUUAAAUGACUGGUAGGCCAUCUCUUUUCUGAGAUCAGAACCUUUUGUUUGCAGAGGGAGAAAGAAAUAGGAUGGAGAAGGCAGACUUAGAGUGUCUGGAGGAAGUAGGAUGCAGGAAUUCUAUGCCACUGCCACUCCUUUGUCGUUUCUUGGUACCAAUUUCUCCCUGUCAAGCUGGUAGCGUUACUGAGGUAUCAAUACCACCAAUAGGGCCAUAGAGGUUGCAUAUCUCCAUCACUCACAUUAUACCCUAUAGAUUUCUAGAAUGUUUUACAACGUCAUUGUGAAUGGUGGCUUCUGGAGUUAAAUAAUGGGGCAGUCUACAUUGAUUAUCAAAUGUGCAUACUUGCUUCAUUUCAAAAGCUUUAUUUUAUUCUUAUUAUGUAUAUAAUACAUACAUCUGUGGGGAUUAGUCCUAAAAUAUCAAAAUAAAAAUAUUCCAUUAAAUGACACUAUAUUUAUUUCCCAUACUUGAGUUGGCAAACUAAAGCCUAUAGGCCAAAUCUAGCCUGCUACCGGUUAUUAUAAAUAAUGUUUUAUUGGAACAUAGCCAACUCAUUUUUUUUUUACCUAUUGUCUACGGCUACUUUCAUGCUACAAUGACAGAUAUCGGUAGUUAUGACAGAAACCAUAGGGUUCACAAAACCUAAAAUACUUAUUAUCUGGCCCUUUACAGGAAAAUUUGCUAAUCUGUGGACUGGAGCCUACACUAAAUAGAAGUUUUUCAUUGAUCUGGGAAACACAACGCUUCACAGUAUUAGUAAUUUUAUUACAAAUGAAAUUAUCUGCAAGUAAACAAAAGGUGGCAAUGAUUCUGUUGGGAUCAUGAAAAAUUAAAGAUCAUGGAAGGGUGCUGAGAGAUUAUGGAGCCCAGCUCUUGUCUUUACAAGUAGGGAGACUGAGGCCCAGGGAAACUAGUGACCUUGUUCAAAGUCACAUAUCAAGUCCAAUUUAAGUCUUGACUGACGUUCUUCCAUGACAAUGUUUGAAAUAGCUCCACAUUCUCUUCUGUGUGUACUUUAUCAUUUUUAAAACUAAUUUUCCUCCAUUUUCAAGUUUUUAACUUGCACAAGUCCUCCAGUCAGUAGUAUUGGUGUGUUCACCUUGAUUUUAAGUAUUUCAUUACUGUGACUGUACCACAGUAUCCAUAAUAUGCUCAUAUUAAUUAUUCUCAACUUACCCACUCUUUCUGUUCUUUUUCUUAAUAACUCCAUAUGCCCUUUCCCUAUGUGAUGAGUUCUUUAUGAAUGGCAGUUUCAGAUUGGCUGCUGGGUAUUCCCUGUACUUUUUCUUUAUUGAGCCAUCCCCUACCAGAUGUUCUCACAUUCCUCUUUUAUUCCAGAAAGUCACCUUGGAUGAUGUUGAUAUCAGGAAGCCUGGGCUUUUGAGAGAUAAAGUUCAGAAUACAGUAAUUAAGCAACAUUGUCCAGUGAUUAUGUCUUUCCUGCACCAGCAACCUUGAUGUGGGCAUUCAUUGUCUCCUCUCUCAUGUCACCCAGCAAACACUAAGCUGAAAUACAUGGACUGAGUUUGUCCCCAGGUACCUGGCAAUUUAGGAUAUCAGAGAUUCUAUAUAAAUCAGAAAUGGAAAGGCUAGCAGUGGAGUAUUUUGGCAGGACAGUGUGUCCUAGCACAGGAAAGGAUGCAAUAGUAUGAGCAAGAUAUCUGUUCAGUUGCAAGCAAAAGGCUUUCAGGGAGUCACGUUAGCUUACAACAUGAAAUAAUACAAAAGUAACAGUAGAUCAGAAGUCUGGAGACCUAGAUUUUGUGUAAUUAAUUUGCUGUGUGACCUUAGGUGAGCUGGUUAGUCUCUGUGGACCUAAGUUUCCUUAUCUAUAAAAUGAGAAGGUUGAGCAACAAUAAAUUCAAUGCACCUUCUACUUAGUGACUAUAUUUUCUGAGCCCCAAAUUAGGACAUAUGCUCUGACAAGUGCAAUUACACUUAUGGGGACAAUGAGACAGGAGAUUUGAAAUACGGAUUAUCCUAGAAAAUGUGGAACAUAUGGCUGCUAUAUUUCCAGUUAUAAAAUUCUUUGAGAUUUAAGGCCCUCUUAUUGCUUUUGUGUAUUUAAGAACUUUCUAAAAUUUACGGGUUGUUAAUGAUGCUGGCCACAAAUUCUAUUAAUUUUUAUGUCUCAUACUUUCUCAGCCUUUACAUUGUCACUAUAUUCUUUACAUUCCAAAGCAAAUUCCUUUAUGCUCUAUUCACUCAUUCAAAAAAUACUUAAAAUUCCUCUUAUGUGCUCCACUAGGAUUGCUGGAUACAGUUAUCCAAGUUGUUUCCCGCACUAGGUGUCCAGACCAUAGGACUAGGAGAGGUAAAAUGUGGUCCACACUCUGCCCACCAAGCCCAGGCCAAGUUCACCCUGAGGAAGUGGCAUAACAACAUCAUAUGUGCUAGUGGUCUUCCUAUGUUAAGCAUUGGACAUAUAAUAGGGCUACAAGAUAAACACAAACUCUACCUUCUUAAAAAUAAUAAAUUAAGUGGGAAAAAUAGAUAUUAAAUAAAUAAUUACAGAAAAUUGGUAAGUACUUAGUACUGAGAGGGAUGAACAAAUUAUUAAGAGAACACAUAUGAAGGAACAAGUAAUUCUUAUCGAGCAGAAGGUGCAGGUGGGGAAUGGAGAGAGGAAAAAAUUUCAGGGGGAGUUAUUAUUUGGUAUCUUCUUGGCAUAUCACUUGAUCCCAAGAAGAAGGAGAACUGGUAUAGAUUAAUUAUGUUCAGGUAUAUUUAUUAGAACAGGUUUUCUAGAGGAUGGAGCUUUGGUUUCCAGUAUAAAAAAAUUAAACUUUUAGUAAGUUAAAUAGCCCUAUUUCUCUUCUUCCAUAGGUCGUGGAGACAAGUCAGGGCCUGUGGCCUUCCUGCUUAAGAAAAGUGAUCUUUUACCCCAAUUCUCACUCUUCCUUUUCUCUUGGACUUUUAGAAAGACAUUUAGAAAUUAGAAUGAAGUCUCACCAAAAAGUCCAUUACUGUGUCCAGGGGAAAUAAUUGAGUUCAAGGCAGUCCUUCUCAAGUUAGCCAACACAGGGCUUCAGCUUGGGGUUCAAACUCAAAACCAAGUUAUAAACUGUUCUUUUGCUUGGCCUUAAUGUAUGUAGUAAUAGUUCCCUUAGCAACCGUGCAAAGUAAUAGGUGACUAAUAAGGGCAGAACUCUAGGGUUCAGGAACCUAUCCUCAAUAUCAUCCUGUUACUAAUAAUUACAUUUAAGCUGAAUUUUAAAGGACAAGGGAUGAGUAGGAGUUUGCCUGGCAAACAAGUUGUGGAAGGGUAUUAUAUGUGAAAGGAACAAUAUGUGCAAUUACUUGAAUUAGUAAAUGAUAUUGCAUAUUUGGGAAACAGGAACAAAGGAUGGGCUGAACAGCUAGAUUGGGAAUAUAAAGAGACAUGCUGCUCAACUAGAAAGUGUAGAUUUUAUCCUGUGGGCAAUUGACAGAGCUAAUGGAAGUUAGCAAGUGACAGAAUGCCAUCUUUACAUCUCUUACAGUGUGAUGGGCAGAUUGGAAUAGAGAAAAGACUGGAAACCAGUUAGAGGUAGAGGGUCUUGAACAGGGCAACAGAAUGAGAAUAGUGAGAAGAAACCUGAUUCAAGAGACAGGACCUUUUGGACGUGACCAGGAGGAAGAGGAGGCAACAUGGAUGCUAGGAUGCUUGCAUGCUGAUAUCAACAAUAUUGUAUGUUAGGGGUAAAUUUGGUUGGUGAAAGUGGGGGUUGGGGAUGAGGGAUAAUGGUUACAUAAAAGGAUUUAGAAAUACUUCUGUGGGAGGUUGAUUUGAUUUUCUGAGGUAGAGCAGGGUGAGAUUUGAUGGACAAUUGCUAUUUGAUGUAAAAACAAAGAACCAUUCUGCUCUGCCUCUCAGUUCAACUGUUCCCAUCUAUUCCUCUAAUGAAAACUGUAUAAGCAUGCAUUUGUAGUGGAGAAUUACUGCUAGGUGGACAGGGUCAGGGACUAGCACUGCAGAGAAUGUAUUGUAAUCAGACCAACAAAGCUCUGUUACUAGAGACAAUUUGCUAGGAUGUGCAAAUAGUUUACUCAUUUAGAUACUUAGUAACAGAGCUUGACCCAAAGCAGGGAAAGAGGUGUUAGACUAACAAAAAUAAAAAAUAUGAUAAUAAGUGUAUUGUUUCAGGCACUUGAUGCACAUUAAUUUUAUUUAAUCCUUACAAUAACACCAUGAAGGGAAUAUUAUUCUCCUUGUUUUAUAGAGAAGGAAACUGGAACACAGAGAUAUAAAGUAACUUACCCAAGGACUAUUAUUACCAUGUAGCAGAGGAAUUAGAAAACCAGGUCUCCCUGGUUCCUUGCUCUCUUCAGCAUGAGAUACCUCCUCUUUAGCCUACUUAAGAGUGAAGACAAUUAGCAGCAUCAUUUGCAUUUAAAUAAUAUAUUUGCUAAGCACAACUGAUUCUUAUCUAUUUGUUAAUGAACUGCUGGAUUCUAUAAAACGUUUGUGGCUUCCAGGGCCUUUUUCUCUUCACUCUCUCCCCAGUUAGUUUUUUCUUUCACAAAGUCUAGGACACAUUAAGGUGGUUUCAAUUCUGGUGAAAUCAAUUUACCCAUGGUAGGUAUUUGUCAACUUUUCAGGCUCAACUCAAGAUACACCUCUUGCUUUUUUGGCUGCUGAAAUUUUAAAAUCAAUAUCCUAUUAUUUAGGGUCAUGCUUCAUCUCAUUGGCAUAUAGUUAGUAGGUGCUUAAUAAAUACUUGCAAGGAAGUAAUGGGCUUUCAGCUCCUGGGCUUAUGCAAUUUUGCCCCAAAAUGUAUUCAAAUGAUCUCUCAUCUUCUAUGCUUUCUCCCCACUAUUGCUGCUAUAUUCACCAAUAUCCAAAACUGAAUAUGAAUAAAAUCAAUUAUAUUCAUUUCUCUCUUAAACAGUCAUCCUUUGUCGUCUCCCACCCUUGGUUACUGGUAUCAUCAUUAUCCUAGCCAAUCUGUCUCAUUUCCAAUUCCUCGUCUUCUUCCUCAAGAGAUUCUACCAUAGAUAUAUUGCUUGAAUCAAAUCCCUUCUUUCCACUGCCAUCAUACUUAUUAAAAGAAGUCUCUAUCGUCACUUGCUGAGGGAUUGCAGUAGCUUCCUAGUUGGUCUUUCUUCAUCCAAUAUAUUCCCUCUUCAAUAGAUUUGGCACAAAGUUGGUUCUAUCUUCCCCUGCUUAAAAAUCUUGAAUAUUUGACUCCUAUACAUGAUGUUCAAAGGCCUCCACAAUAUGGCACCUGCUGAUCUUUCUAGUCUCACCUUGGUUGCCUCCUUUCACAACCUGCUCAACAGCCACACUAGCCACUCUUCUGCCCCCUUAAUGUCCCCAUCACUUUCCUACCUCUGAACCUGUGCUCAUGCGUGCAGAGCUUUCUCCCUAGCACAAGAAGUCACAAGUGGGACAUGCACGAUUCUACUGUCCCACUUGGGUCCAAGGGAGAGACUGCUAAUCAGUCACAGCAUCACAGCACAGUACCCCAGCAGGCCUGGACUCAGCCUCGGACUCCUCAGACAGGGGAUCCCAAUUCUCUCAUAAUGAACAGAACCUGGCAUUAAGUUUAUCUGGCCCUUGUAGGGCUUUUACCUUUUACUAACUACCAAAUCCAAACCAUCUGUCAAGGUCCAGGUGAAAUGACAUCUCUGUCAUGACAGCAUCCCUAUAUUCCUGCUUAAAUUAAUUAUGUUCCCCUGGAUUUUCUCUUGACCUUUACUAUAUGGAUUUUAUUUGUUUGUUGUGUUUUUUGAUUUGCAUAGUAAUUAUUUAUGUAUAAAUUGAUCCUCUAUUAGAAUCUAUGUGUCCUGAGGGUGAAGUUGAUGUCAGAUUUACAUUUGAGUGUUCUACAGCUCUAACUACAGUUUAUGGGAUUAAUGUUUGUCAAAUGAAGCGGCUUCUCACACACUGUGCCUUUAUUAAGGUAAUACACAAGUGUGCUGUAUUAUCUGUACUAUAAUUUACUCUCCUUGAGAGCAGGGAUCAAGCCUGUUCAUCUGUGAAUCACCCACAGCCCUGAGAACUUAGUAAGUUGUUAUUGGUAGUUCUGUGAAUAGCUUUCCUUAUUUUCUGUCAAUAAUCAUAUUGUGUUCACUUAAUAUCCUUCAACUGGCAGAUUUCUGUAAAAUAUUCUGUUUCUUGGGCUUAUUACUUCUGAUUGACCUUCUCUCCAAAUUAGGGCAAACUAUCAAGGAUUUACUGAAUUUUAAAACCUUGAAAGUAGCACCUCAGCAAAAAGUCAGCAGAGAGGAAAGCAGCAGCAUGGUAGGGGUUGGAGAGAAUGCAAAGGGGUGACUGUCUCAGAGGGGAGGGACAUAAAAAGGAAAGAGAGAGAUGAGGAAAGGAAAGGGCAAAGAGAAAGGCAACCCUGAAAGGAGGCAAGGAGACAGAGAGAAGGGGGAGGUGGGAAAUAUCGAAUGAGAGGGGCAGACAGGAGAAGAAAACAAAACUGGAACUUGAUAACAUAUGCCACUAUUACAAACAAAUUUGGCUGCUGAAAAUAACUUCUAUGAGGUUUAAAAAAAUGUUGGUAUAAUUUUUUUUUCAGGUAUGAGGAUGAUGAAAUGGCAGUAAAAGCAAUUUUAUCGUUUUAACCUACAAUAGAAUAUGAGUGAGAAAACGGAGAGAUUUUAAAGAGAAAUGAAAAUGAAAAGGUCACAACAAGAGAGGAGAAAGAAAGAGUAAAUAGCAGGAGGGGGCAUGGAAAGCGAAUGAAUAUAUUGGGAAACGUAGGAGAGAGCAAGGGAAGGGAGCUGCCAGCAAGGAGACAAUAAAUUAACAUGUUUGUUUGAAUACAGGGGCUCCUUUGUGAAGCUGAGAGCUCACAUCUGCCUUUGAUCAGCCACAUGGCAGCCUGGGAUCAGAUCAGAAAGCAAAUGAGAUGAUAAAGUGGAUGAAACCACAGUGAGUUUAAUAUCCAGGAGGGAGUGAGGGAGGCAGGGAACAAGGGAAGUAGAGAGGGCUGCCUCAUCAGGCCAAGAGCCUGCCUGAGUUUUAUGCCAAGUAGGGGAGGGCCUGGCAGUUGUCCCACUGCCCUCUGUGGCCUUCAGAAGUACAGCAAGGCAGUGGCAUCAGUGUGGAGAAUGCUUCAGGAAGACUCUUGGGCUCACAUUUCCUGAAAGCAGACCUCGCUUUGCUGAUGCAGCCCAGGAGCUGAUGGUAGAGAAUUUGCUUAGCUCCAGGGACUUUCUAAAUUGGCAUUUCUUUACCCCAAGACAGGCCGGAACAAAAGAUGAAAUCGUUAUUUCAAAAGGAUUUUUUUCUUUUCAUAUUUCCCUUCCCCUUUUUAGAGCACUUUUUUUUUUAUUGCUGAAUUGCCAAAAAGGCUGCUUAAUAUGUAAACAUGACCAUAUUCUACUCAUGAGUUUCUUUGCAGAUUUCUAGAUUGUUUGGAACAAGAGCCCUAUAAUCAUAAAGCAACUGUUGGGAAGAUUUCUUAACUAUAUUUAGGGCAUUGGAGAGUGACAAAAGGAUCCAUAAACUUUGGUAUACAUAAAUUAUAAAAAUAGCUAACAUGUUUUGAGAGCCUAGCAUGGGCCACGCACUGGCUUACAUUAUCUUAUUUAACUCCUGAGGGAACUGGGGCUCAGAGAUGUGGAAUAACCUGCUCAAGGAUAUAGGGCUAGGAAGGGGUAGAAGCAGGAUUACAGUCUAGAUUUCCCCACUGUCUGCCAGCAUUUCUGAGCAUGAUUCUAUGGGUGAAUUUUAAAAAAAUUACUAGAAAAGAGUUGUGUUUGAGGUAGGUGACAGUUUAAGGCACUUAAAUCUGAGAAAACGCACUAGCUCAAAUUAUUUCCUUUUUUUUUUGAGACGGAGUUUUGCUCUGUUACCCAGGCCGGAGUGCAGUGGCACGAUCUUGGCUCACUGCAACCUCUGCCUCCCGGACUCAAGCGAUUCUCCUGCCUCAGCCUCCUGAGUAGCUGGGACUGCAGGUGCACAUCACCAUGCCCGGCUAAUUUUUUAUAUUUUUAGUAGAGAUGGG